UCCUCCUUUAUUAUUUUUUUUGUAGGGGGUCACCAUACUGGGCAUAGGAUUCUUAGGGCUUUAAAUGACGCAGACAGCAUCAUUUACAGAAUGCAGUAGACACUCUCUUUGCCAUCUCUGGACUGUUCUGGAAGCAGAGGCCCAUGAAUUGUAUUUAACCCUCAGAUGUUUGGUUUUGGCCUGCGCAGUUUUUGUGUCUUAUUUCUUGUUUAACUGCAUCUGACUCUGCGUGCCUUUAGACUGAGCGGGGCCACUGGACUUUUGCUGCACACUGUCCCCACUUCGCUUGUCUUAUUUCCGCCUGGCCCUCCUUACAUUUGAAGGUGCAGUGACCAGUCUGCCCCUGCCCCUCUCUUUUCGGAUGAGCACCCUGAGGCCUGUUCCAGA
rnacentral:lncRNA from 1 species